UACGGAGGGUGCGAGCGUUGUCCGGAAUCAUUGGGCGUAAAGGGCGCGUAGGUGGCGGGACAAGCGUGCGGUGAAAGCCUGGGGCUCAACCCCGGGUCGGCCGUGCGAACUGUUUUGCUUGAGCACUGUAGAGGCAAGCGGAAUUCCGGGUGUAGCGGUGGAAUGCGUAGAGAUCCGGAAGAACACCGGAGGCGAAGGCGGCUUGCUGGGCUUGGUCUGACGCUGAGGCGCGAAAGCGUGGGGAGCGAACAGG
rnacentral:rRNA from 1 species